rnacentral:rRNA from 1 species
AGAGUUUGAUCCUGGCUCAGAUUGAGCGCUUGCGGCAUGGCUAAAGCAUGCAAGUCGUACGCGAAACCGGCUUCGGCCGGGAGUAGAGUGGCGAACGGGCGAGGAAUGCGUUUCUAACGUGCCCCAAGGUCGAGGAUAGCUCGGGGAAACCCGGGGUAAUACUCGAUGACCCCCAUGGAUCGCAUGGUUCGUGGGGCAAAGGCUUGCUGCCUUGGGAUCGGGAAACGCCCUAUCAGGUUGUUGGUGAGGUAACGGCUCACCAAGCCUAAGACGGGUAGCGGGUGUGAGAGCAUGACCCGCCGCAUCGGGACUGAGACACUGCCCGGACUCCUACGGGAGGCUGCAGCAACGGAUAUUGGGCAAUGAGCGAAAGCUUGACCCAGCAAUGCCGCGUGCAGGAGGAAGCCCCUCGGGGUGUAAACUGCUGUCAGGGUUUAGGAAGUUCUGACCAAACCCAAAGGAAGGGCCGGCUAACUUCGUGCCAGCAGCCGCGGUAAUACGAAGGGCCCAAGCGUUAAUCGGAAUCACUGGGCUUAAGGGUGCGCANGCGGAAUGGUCAGUGUCUUGGAAUCCCCACGGCUCAACCGUGGAACUGCAAGCCAUACUGCCAUUCUUGAGGCCGGUAGAAGCCGCCGGAACUCUAGGUGUAGCGGUGAAAUGCGUANAUAUCUAGAGGGACGCCCAAGACGAAGGUAGGCGGCUGGGCCCGUUCUGACGCUCAGGCACGAAAGCGUGGGGAGCAAACAGGAUUAGAUACCCUGGUAGUCCACGCCGUAAACGUUGUGCACUAGUGCUGGGAGGUUCUGACACCAUCAGCGCNGAAGCGAAAGUGAUUAGUGCACCGCCUGGGGAGUACGGUCGCAAGGCUAAAACUCAAAGGAAUUGACGGGGGCUCACACAAGCGGUGGAGCAUGUGGCUUAAUUCGAGGCAACGCGAAGAACCUUAUCCUGGGCUUGACAUGCAUGGAUUAACGCUGGGAAACCAGCGCCACACUCUUUGAGUGGAACAUGCACAGGUGCUGCAUGGCUGUCGUCAGCUCGUGCUGUGAAGUGUUGGGUUAAGUCCCUUAACGAGCGAAACCCCUGUCGCUAGUUACCAUCAGGUAAUGCUGGGGACUCUAGCGAGACUGCCGGUGUCAAACCGGAGGAAGGCGGGGAUGACGUCAAGUCCUCAUGGCCUUUAUGCCCAGGGCUGCACACGUGCUACAAUGGCGCCGACAGAGCGAAGCAAAACCGCGAGGUAGAGCAAAUCGCAAAAAAGGUGCCCCAGUUCGGAUUGCAGUCUGCAACUCGACUGCAUGAAGCCGGAAUCGCUAGUAAUCGCGUAUCAGCAACGACGCGGUGAAUACGUUCCUGAGCCUUGUACACACCGCCCGUCAAGUCAUGGAAGCCGGGAGUACCCGAAGUCGCACCGAUUCAGGUGUGCCGAUGGUAAGCUCGGUGACUGGGACUAAGUCGUAACAAGG